rnacentral:tRNA from 1 species
CGGGAAGUAGCGCAGUUUGGCAGCGCGCAGCGUUCGGGACGCUGAGGUCGCGGGUUCAAAUCCCGCCUUCCCGACCA